rnacentral:rRNA from 1 species
AAUAGAUACCCAGGUAGUCCACGCCGUAAACGAUGAGUGCUAAGUGUUAGAGGGUUUCCGCCCUUUAGUGCUGCAGCUAACGCAUUAAGCACUCCGCCUGGGGAGUACGGUCGCAAGACUGAAACUCAAAGGAAUUGACGGGGGCCCGCACAAGCGGUGGAGCAUGUGGUUUAAUUCGAAGCAACGCGAAGAACCUUACCAGGUCUUGACAUCCUCUGACAACUCUAGAGAUAGAGCGUUCCCCUUCGGGGGACAGAGUGACAGGUGGUGCAUGGUUGUCGUCAGCUCGUGUCGUGAGAUGUUGGGUUAAGUCCCGCAACGAGCGCAACCCUUGAUCUUAGUUGCCAGCAUUCAGUUGGGCACUCUAAGGUGACUGCCGGUGACAAACCGGAGGAAGUGGGGAUGACGUCAAAUCAUCAUGCCCCUUAUGACCUGGGCUACACACGUGCUACAAUGGAUGGUACAAAGGGCUGCGAGACCGCGAGGUCAAGCCAAUCCCAUAAACCAUUCUCAGUUCGGAUUGUACG